GACGGCAUACGAGAUAAUCCGUCGAGAUCGGUCUCGGCAUUCCUGCUGAACCGCUCUUCCGAUCUCUGCAUUCCUGCCUGAUCU